AACGCACAUUGCGCCCCUUGGUAUUCCGAGGGGCAUGCCUGUUCGAGCGUCAUUAUCACCCCUCAAGCCUAGCUUGGUGUUGGGGCCUGCCGUGAAGGCAGCCCUUAAAAUCAGUGGCGGUGCCUGUCAGGCUCUAAGCGUAGUAACAACGUCGCUAUGGAGUCCUGGUGGUGCCUGCCAGAACCCCCCAUUUUUUACGAUUGACCUCGGAUCAGGUAGGGAUACCCGCUGAACUUAA
rnacentral:misc_RNA from 1 species